AUACACUCUGGGGAUUGCUAUAAUCACUAUACUCCCCAGGGUAUGAUCACUAAGUUCUGCUAAGAGCUUGUUCCUGUUCCUGCUCUCUGGGGAAAGAGAGGUUCACCCACUGGAAGCUGGAUCCUGGCCUUGGGUCCAGGGUGGGUGGAGACAGCAGAGACCCCGGCGCAGUUGCAUCGCUGGAAGUGGGGUCUGCAGUGCUGAUGGUGUCGAUUGGAGUGCUUGGAGUCCUCAGCGAGCACUAGGAGCAUCGAUUGGCGGAGGUACUCAGUCGGAGUGCCAGCUGUCCGUCACAAUCAGUCAGUCUGUCUGUCAGUAUAUCAAUCAGUCAGUAUAUCAGUCAGUUAGUCAGUCAGUAUUGUGACAAAGUGCCCUUCGCCACUUUUGCCUGGAGGGGACUACUGGCUAUCCUCCUGCCUUCCGACUAUGGCCCAUGUGCUGAUAGCGGUAUUUUCCCCUGCAGAAAGGUUUAUUUGUGUAUUCCUGCUGGGGCGUUCUGGACUUUUAGUAUGAUAGGAGUUAUGUAUUUUUGUAUCCUUUUGUGUUUUACUGGGAACAUGUGCUCAAUGGAGUCUGUCUCUAUUCCUGGAUAAUUGGAUUACUUUCCCCAUUGUCUCCAGGAUAGAGGGCUCUGUAAAACCGGUUUGGGCCAGAUAUCCAUGCUGCCAGCCAGGCCCCAAGAGAUGCUUUACUAACUUCUGAACCCCUGGUCUGAUUCAUGCCAUUUUUUGAUAUGUUGUUUCCCUGAAUGGAUUGAUUGUGAAUAUGUAAUUUUUAUGUGAAUGUGAUGUAUAUUUUUAGAAGUUAUGAAUAUGCUGUAAAAACUGUAUUUUUCCUACCUGUGAUAAUUGAAUCUUCUAUUGUAUAAGAUAAUUGAAUCACAUGCAGAGGGGAUGAUUUUGUGUGGGCUGUAACCUCUGUUUUAUUGGCUACUGUAGAUAACGUGUGUGUCCCUCCCCUCCAUGGGAGCAGGGCAUAAAAGAAACUGUAGCUUGAAUACCUGUUGUUGUUACUUCCAGUAAAGUCUUGUUCCAGC